ACCUGAGCACACGUCCAGGCUGGACCCCAUUCAAGCUGAGCACACGUCCAGGCUGGACCCUAUUCAAGCUGAGCACACAUCCAGGACGGUUCAGAGCGCGCUCUGCACUAUUGUCCCUAACCCAGCGCAGCACAGGAAGGACCGGGUACCCUGGGAUAAGGCCAGGAUGCGCAGGCAACUCCAGCCAGGGGAAAUGAAGGCACUGGAGUCCUCCCAGAGCAGCACUGCAACCCGGGCGUGAAGGCAACCCCAAUCGGGUCUGCGUGGGACGCAUGCAGCGGGUGCGCUUCCCACGCAAGCGGGGCGAGGGCGGACAGUUCCUCCCGCUGCUCCCAGGAUCACAACCCGCGGCCGGUUACCCCUACGCACCUACGCACCCGGCCUGCAGGUCCCACUCGGUUAGCACAGAGCUGCAUCCCAGUUAAGCACAAGGACGGCCCCUUGGCCCAUCAGACAGCCCCUCGCCCUCUGCCCAUCCCGGCCGCCGCCUGCGCAGCUAUCCAGAGGGAUGCAGCCAGGACACUCCCGUACAGGUUCUGGUGGGGAAACACGGUUUCAUCUCACUUGGGAAUCUACUGAAGAGAUGGACCACGGUUGCCUGUCAGGCUUAACCUCUGGGAGAACUCCUACUACUUGGCAGAGGGGCCCACUGCUCACGCCCUCACUGACAGGGCCAGUUUGUCCGCUUCUGCAGAGCAGCCUGGGAUUUGAUGACGACAGAAUGGCUGCAGAGCCCUGGAGAUGGUGCUACCUUAAGUGGAGACUGACUGGUCUUCUGUGCAUCUAGCCUAGUGUUGAAGAAGACGGACCAGGCUGAGCACUUGCAGCACCCAGGUCCGAGUUCCUGUCCUGUCUGUGUAGGACUUCAUCCUGAAGAGGUGACCAGUGGGCCGUUCACACAGGAGCUUUUGAGGACGUUCACGCAAGCACUGGUGGGAACGAAGUAGGAAACGUCCACGUGGAGAAGGUGCACACGUGAAGAGGACGCUCCUAAACGGAGAGGCUUUCCUCUUUAGGCUCUGCUCUGGGGACACGGCUCUCCUAGGUAAGAGUAAGUAAAGGUCAUCUUGUUAAUGUCGCCAUGAAUCAUCACCAGCCAAUCUCCUGGACGUGCCCUGCAACUGCUGCACAGUGUGCCUGGCUGAACUGCCCCCGCCUGGCUCUGGGCAGGUCCCAGGCUGGGGCUCCGCCCACUCUGCAGGGACCUGGAUGGGACCUCCUGCUCUGGCGCCCCCAUGUGGUUUCCUUUCAACAUGGCCCUGACCCACCUAAGCUCCCAGCCCCAGGCACAGGAGGGGUCCCCUGGGUCACAGGGGCCCUGUGGCCUCCAUCAGACCCUCCCUGGCCUCUCCCUGCCCAGCCAUCUCUUCUGUUUCUGCCUGCCCAUGUGGAAGGCUCUGGGUGCCCCGGGCCUCCCUGCGCCCUUCCACCCGCUGCACAGGGUCCUUAGGUUUGUGUUCCCUUAGCAUUGCCCUGGGCGGCUCCCGGACCGUGCUGCGCUCCCUCCCUGGUGUCCCUUAGACACUGAAGCUGUGUCUGGCUCAUUGCAGCUGCUUAACAUUUCCUGAACAAAUACACCGUGGU